rnacentral:rRNA from 1 species
GACGAACGCUGGCGGCGUGCUUAACACAUGCAAGUCGAACGGAAAGGCCUGCUUUCCCUUGUGGAUUGCGGGUACUCGAGUGGCGAACGGGUGAGUAACACGUGAGUGAUCUGCCCCCAACUUGGGUAUAAGCCUGGGAAACUGGGUCUAAUUCCCGAUAGGACUGCAGGGUGGUGCCUGUGGUGGAAAACGAUUUUCUAGUGGUUGGGGAUGAGCUCGCGGCCUAUCAGCUUGUUGGUGGGGUAAUGGCCUACCAAGGCGGCGACGGGUAGCCGGCCUGAGAGGGUGGACGGCCACAUUGGGACUGAGAUACGGCCCAGACUCCUACGGGAGGCAGCAGUGGGGAAUAUUGCACAAUGGGCGAAAGCCUGAUGCAGCGACGCCGCGUGGGGGAUGACGGCCUUCGGGUUGUAAACUCCUUUCGACCGCGAGGAAGCCACCUGGUUGGAAGGGUGGUGACGGUAGUGGUAGAAGAAGCACCGGCUAACUACGUG